AAAUAAUUAAAAUAAAUAAGAAGCAAUUUGCAUUUAAUUUCGACUUAAAAGAGAGAGUAAGUAU
rnacentral:tRNA from 1 species